GCAGUAUUUUGCUUUUUUAACAACUUAUUCUUCUAAUAACUGCCCAAAUUCAGUUGGUGUGUUCUAAUUUUGCUGAUUCUUCUCAUUUUUUUCCCCUUUUUUAGUUUCAUUUGUUAAUUUCAAUAGUUUUUCUUUUGAUACAAAUAUCCUAGGAGCAUCAAUUUAAAAACUAAAUCAUUACAAAAUUUACUCAUAUUACUUUGUCAAUCUUCAGAGUUAAGUAAUGUGAAGUACUCAGGUGCUUUUUAUUAGCCAAUCUUAAUAUUAUUGUUUGAUAUGAUUCAUUAGAUGCCUACCAACGUACUUAUAUAAUUCUUCACAAUCUCAUAUUUCUCCAAAAGACAAUAGGAACUUUUUUUGAAGGCAGCUUUUUAAAAUCGUAUUUCUGGAAAUGGUCUAGAUUUUGCACUUAUUCACUGAAAAUUCAGUUACUGAGCACUAUAUAGACUAUUUCAUUUAUACAGAAAAUGUACUUGGAAGUGAAUUAAAGCUGUCUAAACCAGAAAACUGUUUUUAUUAUAACAUUUCUAUACAACUCUGAUGCUUCCUGAAGGAUAAUUUGAUAGAAAGUUUUAAACUUUACACUUGCUAACAUUGAAACUAAGGUUUGGAGCUGAAAUAGCUACUUAAGCCCUUGCACAUAAAGAUUCACUUUCACUUUAUUUGUAUAAAGCGGGUUAUUGGUUCAUCCUGCCUCCUAGGCAAAACUCAUUAAAAUAGCCUCUAAGCUUCCAGCAGUAAAAUAUUAAAAUUGUUUACUAUUGUCUUCUAAUAUUCUACACUUUUUUCUACAAAAGAAGAUAACUUUAAAUCAGCUUAUUGAUAUAAACUGGUUUAAAGUUUUAAGUAAAAAUUUCAGUGUUCAUAAGAUGAUACACCAUUCCUGUGGUUCUUACCUCAACAUUGAUGACUUCUGUAAAAGUGUCAACUUAUAUCUGUAAGCAUUCAAUCAUAAUUCUGCCUGGUGUUGUAUUAUGUGAUCAUAUAUAAUGAAUGUACUACUGGUUGGGAUAAUCUCAGGGUUUCAUAUUUCCUGGGACUGUGGAUUUCAAGAUAAUCCAUACAAACAGAACAUCCAUUUGAUUCCUUAAGUUAAUGAUCACAGGAUAUAGUAUGAUACAAUACACAUUAAUAAAACAACAGUAAAAUUUUUUUAUAGUAUCUAAUAGAAUUUCAGUUAAUCUUCUCUUCACUCUCCAUUCAUAAAAUCUCAGAAAAAAGAAACAAAGAUUAAUGCCAAUCAGACAUCCAUAUUAUAUCAUUAUUAGCAUGCAUUAAGAGCUAAAAUUGCUUUGAAAUAAUAGCUUAUAUUAGGUGCUAAAGCUGCUUCAUUAUGACAGCAAACAAGGAGCUAAAGUUACUUCAAGAUCAUUGCUUCUAUUCUCUCUCAUAUCAACAGACUUCUACAGUUGGUUUAUUCAAUAUUUAAUUCUUGAAGAUCUAUCAAAAGAGCAAUCCUUCUUCAAAUCAAUUAGCUAACUUAGCAGAGAGGAUACUUCAAUUCAAUGCUCUCACUGCCACCAAUUAUUAUACUUGUGUUUAAUUGCUUGCAUUAAGUCUUCAGAGAGAAGGAAGUCUCUCCUUCCUUAUUCUCCUCACUUCUGAUUUUUUUCUCUUUUUUCUUUCCUGUUUUAUCUUCCUUUUCUUCUCUUUAUUUAUUUUUUUCUGUACACAUUAUGGCCAGCCAAGCACAUUUUCAGGUUACUAUCUAACUGCUUAAAAUAAUUAAAAGCCUUUGCUAACUUUAUAAAGAAGCUGACCUGAAAGUAUAGUUCCUCCAGUGAAUGGCCAAAAUGUUGUGAAAAGUCUGUGUACUACAAAAUGGUUCUUUGACAAUAUUGACUAGAUGUUUAAAUUGGCUUCAUCGAAAGGAGCUAAAGAUAUAUUGUCAUAUAAAAUAUGUGACCAAGGGCUAGUAGAGGAUUGUAUUUAUCUUCAGUGAGCAUAUGACUGUGUGUAUGUGUGUAAGCAUUCGUGUGACAAAUAUGUAUGUAUACUGUGUUCAAGAUAAUUACAUGAUUUGUUUAUAAAACAAUAUUACAUUUCCCUUGCACACUUUCCUCUAUCAUCGUUUUAGAAUGGUUUGAAUGAAACCUUGCUAUAAAACAAUCCUUUUCGUGUUUCUUCACUUUUCUGAAAUGGUAGCAAAUUGGAGUAAACCAAGAAAAGUCUUUUGUUCAGACUAUUUUCAUAUUCCAUUAUUUUCCUUUCCAUUAUUUAUUUUGAUAAUUUUUUUUUCAUUUUAUAUACAUUGUUUUUCUUUACUGUUCCCAUGUCUAUCUUCUCCUUCUCUCUCCUGGCUGCAGACACUUCAUUGCAUUUGACUGCAUUUAUCAUUAUUGUUUCAGAUGAUGAUGAAGUGGUCAUUGACAAGUUU